AUUUUCCGGUAGACGAUGGGGAUGCGUUCCAUUAGAUAGUAGGCGGGGUAACGGCCCACCUAGUCAACGAUGGAUAGGGGUUCUGAGAGGAAGGUCCCCCACAUUGGAACUGAGACACGGUCCAAACUCCUACGGGAGGCAGCAGUGAGGAAUAUUGGUCAAUGGGCGAUGGCCUGAACCAGCCAAGUAGCGUGAAGGAUGACUGCCCUAUGGGUUGUAAACUUCUUUUAUAAAGGAAUAAAGUCGGGUAUGCAUACCCGUUUGCAUGUACUUUAUGAAUAAGGAUCGGCUAACUCCGUGCCAGCAGCCGCGGUAAUACGGAGGACCCGAGCGUUAUCCGGAUUUAUUGGGUUUAAAGGGAGCGUAGAUGGAUGUUUAAGUCAGUUGUGAAAGUUUGCGGCUCAACCGUAAAAUUGCAGUUGAUACUGGAUGUCUUGAGUGCAGUUGAGGCAGGCGGAAUUCGUGGUGUAGCGGUGAAAUGCUUAGAUAUCACGAAGAACUCCGAUUGCGAAGGCAGCCUGCUAAGCUGCAACUGACAUUGAGGCUCGAAAGUGUGGGUAUCAAACAGGAUUAGAUACCCUGGUAGUCCACACGGUAAACGAUGAAUACUCGCUGUUUGCGAUAUACGGCAAGCGGCCAAGCGAAAGCGUUAAGUAUUCCACCUGGGGAGUACGCC
rnacentral:rRNA from 1 species